GGCCGGUUAGCUCAGUCGGUUAGAGCUUGGUGCUGAUAACACCAAGGUCGCGGGUUCGAUUCCGGUUCUGUCCC
rnacentral:tRNA from 1 species